CGAGUGGCGAGUCCUCCGGGGGAAGGUUGGUCAAUUCAUCUGUGCAGACACUGUUGCCGGCGGAGCUUGGAGUUGGAGUUGGAUUCAUGGUGGGAUCCAUCGGAGACAAGCAAAGUUGAGAUGCAGAACCAUGCUAUCACAAUUUAUGAAUCUUGAAAUCAGUCUUUUCGGUACUCAGCUGCAAGCUCAUGAAAGCCAAACUUUUCAAAGAUAUCACUGACGAUUCGGCUGGCAAUGAAUGAAAAGGCAGAUGCCCCAAACGCCAUUCCGGUGUAUUCAGCCAUGGUCCUGAGUUUUUGCAUGCGGAAAGCGUAGGCUUUGGCAAAGGAGAGAGAGAUGACGCAGACCAGAGAUGCAGCAAGAACAACCGCAGCUUUGUAGUGUCCCUUGUCGGUUAUUCUGUAAGAGAAGGCGUAGCAGAGAGGAGGUAUCACACCGAAGAAGAAGAAGGAAAGCACAACGACGACGCAGUGGAGCGUGAAGUUCCUUUUGUUUCCCAGCAGUGUUUGGUACGGAUCGUCUACUUCCUCACUCGUCAUAUGAUCAGUGUUAGUACUUUGAGAUCGUGGUUGAUUCGUUUUUAGUCGAAAGAGCUGCCAAAAUAUAUUCUAUUUUGUAAGUGUGAAUCGAAUGAAAAGGUUUUUACUCAUAAGUGUUUAGAGACGCAUGAGAAAACAAAGUUAGAUGUUCGGUUUCUCAAGGGAAAACAGAGUAUGUGCUCUGUUUAGUAAAUUAUCUUACUAACGUCUUAAAAGUUUUUGCAGGCAAAAAAAAGAAAGGAAACAAAACGACUUACGUUGUUACAGAUAAUAAUAAGGCCACUGGAUAGACUCGCUAGCCCCAAAGAGAUAACGUUGACUGCAAGUAAGAUUAUAUUAGUUUUAAUUGAAAUGUAUGAAGAAACUCAAUGCCGUGUUUAAGUGUACUUACGAGUUGAAGCUCCGGAAGCGACAGCGGAGGAUACGACACCGAGGCUUGUGAUGGACUCGAUAAGACCUCCGUACACAAUACUCUUCAAGAUGUCUAGCUCUCUUGGUAAGUGGUUUUGAACUAGAACCACGAUAUAUUUCAACAUUGGUAAGUGGUUUUGAACUAGAACCACGAUAUAUUUCCACAUUUCCUUUGGAUUUGGCACUGAAAUAGGAAUGCUGAUUGGUUUAUCAUGAUCCUCUGUAAGUAACACUGGACUAGGGUCAUCGAUUGGUUUAUCACUAACAUCAGGUUCCCGGGUCGGAUCCACAUUGGAUUUCCACAAAACAUCUGGAAGUGGCACUGAAAUAGGAAUGCGGAUUGGUUCAUCAGGUGCACGAGGCGGAAACAAGAUGGGAAACAAAGGUUGAAGUCAUCAUUCCAACACAGAAUCAGAGAGUUGAGGGAAAAAGUGCGAUACCUUUGUUAUCCAGCUGAGUAUUAGGCGUGAUGGUUUCUUCGCUCCUAGAUGUGUUUUUGUCAUCUUAAGCAAAUAAAUGAGAAAGAGGGUCAGGGAAAGAUGACAAAGAUGAUGAUCUCCUGUUAUAGUAAUUUUACAUGUGAAAAUACCUAGAGCUUUAUCUGUACUACUAAGACGGGGUUGAGGUUUUAUAAAAGUU